GCAGCAAGGGGCAACCAGUGCUCACAGCCACUGCAAGUAAGGUCACCUGGCUCUUGACCUCCAGCAGCCUCUGCUUCCUGGCCUUGGAGUCCCCAGUGGGGAGCAUCACGGGGAGGCCUGCACCCUGCCCUGAUGGAGAAUGCAAGGACCCUGCACGGAAGAACCCAAAUCCACAAGUCAACCCUCACGCCCUGAGGCAAGUGCUCCGUCCAGAAUUUCUCCAUGGCUCUCCGCACUUGAGGAAAGGAAAGAAGAAAAUCAAGGAUGCCUAAAAUACACCAAAAGCAUCUGUUGCUUAAAACUCUUUCAUUCUGCUGAUUAAAAAAUAAAUAAAUAAAAAGGAAUGAACUUCAGAAAACGAAGAUCUCACCCGAAAUAGGAAUUCCAUGCAUGUCGCUCCUUAAAUUAAACUAAAAUAGCUUCAAGCUUAAAGUUUCUAUAACAUGAUAAAAAGCAGGCAGGUCAACCCUGGAAGACACUCACGUGUCCACCGUGGCCCGGAGGUGAGGGAAGUGGUCUUUGCAUCUCAGGGCUCAAGUGGAGUGUGGUAGGUGCACAAAGAACUCUUCCUGAACCAAUGCCUGCACGAGCGAGCGCGCCUUACCUGGCCUCCCUCUUGUCCGGGGCCUCCCCCCUGCCUGCCCCCUAC
rnacentral:lncRNA from 1 species